CUUGAUUUUCUGAGGCAGGCAGAGGCAGUCUUUAACUUUGAAGGGAGCACUUUAUUUUUGAGCGGUUGUGAGCCAUGUCUGGGACUCGGCUGGGUGUUGGCGGCUAUGAUUUCAGCAAGAGUUGGUGACAGUACGUCAAGCAUUGCUCCUGAGGUUAAUUGGAAAAAUUAUCUAAUCAGGACAAAACAGAAAAUAGGUUCUACAGAGUUCUCUUCAGUCUGCUACACAAAUCUACGCCAUUCCUAUUUCAGGCUACAGACCAUUCUGGAGGGUCCAGGGCAAGGAUGAAUUAAAAAUAUGGAUCUGGAAGUCACCCCCUCAACAAAGGCUUACUGAAAGACUCAUGUAUGAAGACCAUCCAGACCCAGGAAAAUCCAGAAGAAGAUCAAAUCUCUCCUGCAAGACCCAAAUUUGAGAGCCAGUCUAACAUCAGAAAGAAAGGAGAUUCCAGCAGCCCAACUUGAACAUGUGGAUAAUAUCCUUUCUCAAACGGUUAAAGAUAGAUAGAGUAAGUAGUGUUAGAAUUUGGGAAAUGCUCACAUGAUGUUUCUAAUAAUGAAUAUUUUGUUAAUAAAAUUAUG